GCACAAGCGGAGGAACAUGUGGUUUAAUUCGAUGAUACGCGAGGAACCUUUACCCGGGCUUGAAAUGCAGACGACGGACUUGGAAACAGGUCUUCCAGCAAUGGCGUCUGUGUAGGUGCUGCAUGGUUGUCGUCAGCUCGUGCCGUGAGGUGUCGGCUUAAGUGCCAUAACGAGCGCAACCCCUAUCAUUAGUUACUAACAGGUCGAGCUGAGGACUCUAGUGAGACUGCCGCCGUAAGGUGUGAGGAAGGUGGGGAUGACGUCAAAUCAGCACGGCCCUUACGUCCGGGGCGACACACGUGUUACAAUGGCCGGUACAAAGGGCAGCGACACAGCGAUGUGAAGCGAAUCCCGAAAAGCCGGUCUCAGUCCGGAUUGGAGUCUGCAACUCGACUCCAUGAAGUUGGAAUCGCUAGUAAUCGCGGAUCAGCACGCCGCGGUCGAAUACGUUCCCGGGCCUU
rnacentral:rRNA from 1 species